CAAUUCUUUCAGGAAGUUUGGCUUCGUUUUUACUUUAUUUACAGAGACGGGGAAAGAAUUGCUUUAUGUGCCCUUUAAACUAUAUACUCGGCCCAAAAAAAGAAACGUCUUUAUAUAUAGAGCCCACCAGCACCGUCACAGUAUCGAUGCACCUCUGUGUAGGUUAUCUUCAUAAAACAGAGAUGUCUGUGGAGAGAAAGAAGAGGAACCAGCAACAGUUCUUUUGAAUCGUCACUUGUGACACUUGGGGUACUUGUCACUCUGUCUGACCUCUUUCGUAUAUUAAAGUAUUAUCAAAUCCUGACAAUUUUCAUAACACAGAGAAGAGAACAAAAAUCACCAGUCCACUGAAAAGACUUUGUAUAAACAAAACCCUUCUUCCCCCAGCAGCAGCUUCUGUUAAACUUUCAGAUAGGGAGCAGCUCAUCAUACACAAGGCUUCCCAAUGGACUGCUGUCUUUCUUUGAUUUGUUCUUGUACAAACCAAGAAGUUUGAAUUUACUUUCAAUUUAUGAUUUUGCACAAGGUCUGUUCAUGUAUACCCAUUAGUGCCUUGAGCAUUGGAAAACGAGCCCUCGUAUUUUAACAUAUCUUACAUAUUCUACAAUUGUAACUAACUUUUUUGAAAUCUCUUUUUGGGGACAAAUGGUUUAAAUGUGUUCUAUCUUGUCUAUAUAGGUAUGGCAUCUGUUAUCUGGAAAAACCCAUAAUCCAAAAAGCUCCAAAAUACAGAAAAGCCAUCUCCCAAAGAC